rfam:Populus trichocarpa scaffold_161_contig_2, whole genome shotgun sequence.
UCUAGAACUUAAGAUAUGAGUUGAGCACUGAACAAUAUCUGGGUUACAAGAUAGAUUCAGACUUCUUUUUUAUUGCUAAAAUUUGAACUUCAAAAUGAUAAUAUUGAAUAUUGGACUCUUCAUAAAUGUUUUAGGUCUAUAUCUUAGCUUUCCAUC